AUUAAAUGGCAGGGCAGGUGUGUAGAGUCGACUGUUAGUCGACUGCUGUUGCUCGAAGCAGUCGGUUAUUCGAAGCAGUCGGUUAUUC
rnacentral:tRNA from 1 species